AGAACGAAUGGCGUAUUUGUUAGCAACUCAUCCAAGCACGAUUGAAGGCUGCAACUUGGCUACAACUACGAGUAACGUAUUGAAAGGGGUAGCAAUUAGCCAAUGACAGAACAAAAUACGUUGGCGUGGGUAAAUUAGAGUGAAAGAACAUGAACUAAAAGGCAAAAAGUUCAACGAAAAGACAACUAAAAGCCGGGGUUACGUACUAAAAGGCAACAACUGUCGAUGAGGCCUAAAAACUACAGAUAAUAUACUGUUCAGUUCAAUUCCAACUGUAAGCAGCGGCAGCGGCGCGGCAGCAGCGCAUCUUAAACUGUGGCUCAGCGGCUCUCAAACUGUGUUCAAAGGAAUAAUUGCAUUCAAUUUAAUGGAAUUACGGUGUGGAUUGUAAUGACAAUGGAAACGGGGAAAACAGGUUUUUAUGAAAUUCUUUGUGCCCGGCAAACCAAAAUGCUAUGAAAAGAUAUAGAUGGAUAUAUAGCAAAAAAUUAAAUGAAAUGUGGCGGAUGAGAUCUUAGGGGGACACAUGAAAUCGACUUAUAGAUGUGCUAGCUGACUCCCCUAUGCCCUUUAUAUGCCUUCUGGUAAGAAUUGGGUUGACGUAAUUAAAACUCAGAAAUCAUCGUUAAUAGUAAAAGAAUUGCCAACUACGCGGAAAUCUAAAAAAUGAUGGUAAAAUCAUAUACAAAUGUAAACGAAACUUUUAGAAUGGAAUAAUUCAACUUGUUUCCAAUCGAUUGAAAACGAAUUCUGGCACUACAUGCAGGUUAUGUGGCUUGAACGGAAUGUGGGUAAAAACGUGAGCCAAAAGCUUCAAAAUAUAUUGGAGGUAUAUUAUACGAAUAUAGUGUGUUUUGUGGGUAUCUCGGUGGGAAUUAUUGGCUUUUUAUUGUAGUGGAGUGGACUUUGACUUUC
rnacentral:sRNA from 1 species